rnacentral:lncRNA from 1 species
AUUGGGUCAAAUAUCAUCCUGAGUCCGGUAUAAAAUUUAUUUAGUCUCUAGAGAAAUUCUUUGUGCACCGCAAGCAAUAUAGAAAAUCUGAUGUGGAGCGUAGUGGCAUAGUCAGAAUUUUUCAUCCUAAGAUUUAAUAUAUAAAUUAAAAUAAAUAAAUAAAAUAAAUAAAAAUUUAAUAAUAUUAAAUUAAUUGAAAGCGAGAGAGAA